CCAAAUGAUCACAGGAUUUCUAUUCUAUCUCUCUUUGUGCCUGCUGGAUUGUUUUUUCCAAUGAAUCUUGAUUUUCUCUGAAGAUUCAUGGAGACAUCAGCCAUGACGGCGGUGACAAUCGCAAGAGAAGGAAGAGCGCCCCAAGUGGUCCGGUCCAGAUGACUCCUGACCCGACUCAGACAUCCAAAUUAUCGUUUAGGUGAGGACACAACCGUUUAUUGGGAAGCGAUCUUCGCCCAGAAGUACAGUAGUGUAUAUAGGUUGGAUGCACUCUGCUGUACAUACAGUACAAGGUGUGCAUGAAAAAUACUGAUGAUAAAUACUUAUGCUGCACUUUCAAAAUUCGUGCAAAACAUGUGACUGAGAGCAACAAGACCACUUUACAUGAAGUCAUUCUGGAAACCACUUCAGGAGAUGAGAACGCUAGUGAAGUGAUCUAAACUGGUUUCCUGAACUGUUUUAAGGGAAACUUAUCACAUAACGCUAGUUCAAGAAAGUAAAUGAGAACAGGGUCAUAGAUGGUUAUUGGGAGAGAGAAUGGGGGAGGCGGUUAAAGAAAGUAAAAAAAGUGACAGACAAAACAAAUGAAUUCAAAAAGAGAAAAAAAAACCCUCAAGUAUAGAUGAUAGAAUACAUUAUGGAUUAGUUAUAUUGUACACUGACAAAACAUAGAGAGGUGUGAUCGGUGCCCCAGAAGUGAAAGAUUAAAAACAAAACUUGACAUAAGUUUAAUUUCCUACAAAAGAUGAAAUCAUGAAUAAAAUCAAUCUUUAUGUGAAGAGUGAGCCACAUUUUCAGAAAAAUAUAAUUAUUAAAGAGAAAGAUCUAAGAAGUGAGAAAAAUGAUGGAAGCAGAGAAUAAUAACUACUCCUAUUUUCUGAAGAUGGACUUUGCUCUUGUGACUCACCAAGUGCAAAUAAAUUGAUUGAUUUCAAUAUGAAUUUCAAAAGAUAUGAGAUAACAAUGAAAACAUCUUUUUGGUCUAUCAGAGCAAGUAAGCAUAACGGGCGCUGAGUUUAAAUAACUGGAACUGGUAUUCAAAAAUCUUAUUUUCUCUUGUUGGAAGAUUUUGUUUUGUAUUCGCUUGAAGACAUAUGGCAAAGUGAACCAGCGAAUGAAGUCACCGUCCAAUAGGUUUGAAUAAUGGAAUACCUUUGGGUAGAGAAUUGGUCGUCUUUUUCACCCUGAAAGAAAGUUGAAUAAAGGAAAUAUUCUCUGAUGACUGAUAAUUGUCUCAUAAUGGAGUCUAACGUGACGUCAGUCCAGUAUUAACUUCACUUGCUUUUAUCCCUGCUUCUGUUGUAACACUUAUUUUUCUCCUUCUUGUCACACCAGACCUUGUAAGGAUUUCAGUAUGUCCCACUUGUUGUAAGAACCAAGUGUGCUUAUGAUAUUCGGUGCAUCUAUACUAUCAAAUGUGAAGUUGUUUUAUGUGAAGCCAUUAAUGUGCUUGUAAACCAGUGGUGAACUAUUCAGUGGUAAUGAGGAACGAUGUUUGACACAAGAGAUUGGAAUGUAUAGUUCAAUGCUAUAUUACUCAUUUUCACCACAACUUUUCUGGAAAGAUGUAUAUCGGUUUUCAAGCUUCAUUGAUUUCUGUGCAUGGUGUUUAACAUGAGAUCACUCUACCAUUUCUUGUAUAUGCUAUCUGUUGAUAUAACUUUGACGAAUCAUUCCUGUUGACUUCUAUCAUACUUCAUUACUUGACAGUUUUACGAUCGAAUAGUGAUAGCGAACUUAUACCUGUGAUGAAAUAUGGUAUCCCUAAAAGAUAAUUUUUAAUCAAAAUGAUGCUAAAUAUGUCUGUCAGUUAUCCUGAAAUGGAGCCAAACUGUUUAUUAUUCAGUGAAACCUAAGUCACUCAAGAGUCACUCUAAAUCCUAUCCAAGACUGGGACAAGUAUCAUAUUACAGAGGAUAUCAAAUGUGUUAAUUACCAUGGUAACACAACACUUUUGUAAGUGAGAGGGAUUCCUUUGUGAAUAUAAUUUUAGUUUUGCUGGUGGACUGAAAUCGUGGAAUCUCACUGGUUUUUACUUCCUGGAAAUGCAAAAAAAACCCUGUGUACUGAAAGAUUUUCUAUACGAAGAAGUGGGAUAAUAACAGAACAGCCGUGAUGAACAUAACGAUGGCCAAGUUAACAGUAAGUCCUGUUUGUAUCUGUAUAUAAGUGUAUUUCAGAUUUAUCAAUCAUCAUCCUUUCGCAUUGGUUUCAUUCAUGUCUCUUCAGAAUUACUCAUAUGAUAUUAAAAACAAUCAUAAUGUUAUUAAUCAUUUCAUUUCAUUUAUGAAGAUUUUAGAUCUGAUAUUGUAAUGUAUAUCUUAUGAAUAAUGUAGUACAGUAAAGUCAGACUAAAGAUGAAUUUUUGAGUGAAUAUUGAAUUGUAGAUUGGAAAGAGUGAAUUUUCAAUGUCAGACAUCAUUUGUUUGGAGAGUGAAUUUGAAGUAAUAUAUAGAUUUCACUUAUAAGAAAACAGUGAAUACUCUUAUUCUGCUCUUAUUGUAUUUUCACUCUAGUGUUAAUAAUUACUAAUUUUGGAUGUGAUAUUGAUUAUCAUGCUUCUUAAAAUGGAAAGUGUGAAUUUUCACCACAUUGUAGUAAUGUUUGUUGUCAGCCUAUGGUUUUAUUAAAGACAUAAAAAGAUGAGAAAAGUGUUAUCAUUAAAAUGUUAUAUAUUUCAUAGAGAAAUCUUAAGUGCAAUAAAAGCUUAUAUUGGAUGAUGCCACGAUGCUCAUGAACGUAUGCAAUGCAGAUGAGAUGAUGUGGUUAAGACGAAGGGGACAGAGGCAAAGAGGAGGAGGGUAUUGAUGGGUGGAAAGCUGAAUGGUAAAUUAAAGUAAAUCGCUAGAGGGGAGAGGAGAAGAACUUCUCAAGCAAGCAGAUGUCUUCAUUCUAGGUGGUAGGUGAGGAGGAAGAGGAGAAUGGAAUUGAUGUGAAGAUGAUGAGUUGGUACUAGAGGGUGUCAUAUUAGAAGAUGAAAAAGGAAUGGAGAAAGAUAAAAAAUGAAAUGGUGAUUUUAUUUUGAUGCGGGAAGAGAUUGUAACUGUGUUUAUGCUUUGAAGGAAAAAUAAAUGAUUUUUUUUAAGGCAAAGAGAAUGGUUUUAAGCAAUUAAUAUUUAAGACAGUAUUGUUUAUGCAUAAAUAAUUUUCACUCAAGAAGCCAAUUUUGAUAGGCAGGCACUGCAUAUUCAUAAUCACUAUUUAUUAUACCAUAUUUAGGGCAUAUACUGUAGGUAAAAGUAACUUAACAUGUAGAAUAAUAUAUACACAAUUUUUUAAAGGAUUGGAAAGAUGCAGCCAUGUUUUGAACAAAGCACAUUUUAUAACCCAUAUUUUUUUGCUCCAACAAUUGACCUAAUAGUGCCUGAGAGUCAUGACAAAGGAAUAAUAUAUUUGAAAUAAGCAGGCAAAAUGAAGAGGUAAACAGAAACAAAGAAAACAGAGAAUAAACAAGAAAGGAUGAAUUUGUGAUCUAACACAAUAAGAGGGAUUGGAUGUGUGCUGCCCUAGAGGGCACAUGAGAGAUGGAUUUCAUAUAAGAGACAAAGAAGUAAGAACCAAGGAAAGGAUUAAUAGAGAAAGUGCAUUUCAGAUUUUAUAUGACAGAUAUUGGAUGGACUUGAAUCAGAAUUCCCCCCCCCCUUCGCCUUUCGAAUGAAGACAAAUUACAGACUGCGACAAAGAAAAUCAGAAAUAAAUUAGCAAAGACAACGGGAGACACAUGGGGCGACGGAUUGAAAAGCCAAUGACAAAGCAGUCGUGAAAAUAAGAAGAUUAUCGUUAAAUUACUGUCAAAGAGAAAGAAGAAACAAGGAAUCGUAAGAAUUGAUGGAGCAGGUGCAUAGAAGCAGUAGAAGAGGCCCACGGAAGGAGGAAAAGAAUAAUGAAUGUUGAAGUGAAACUUAAGAGAUGAUGCGGGAGAGAUGCGAUCCCCGAUGCAUUCUCCCUCAGCAUCUCCUAGUGAUGACUCAUCCUCCAUUGGUAUAUUACAUCUGAGUGAAGACCACAUCAUUUGGACCGGUAGGAGAGACGCAUGCAUAAUUUGCCCACUGCUUUUCUGGGCCAUUGCUUCACCGGAGCUAUGCUAUGAGCUGGAGAAAUCACUGGCAAUGCGGCGCUACUUAAUUGGAUGUAAUGAUGACAUUUCCUAUUAAAGAGGUGAAGGAGAAAAGAGAAGAUAUAGAGAGAGAGACUGUGUGAGAGAGAGUGAGAGAGAGAGGUUAUUACCAUCUUGUGACCACACCCAUCUGACUCUUUGUGGCUCAUGAUUUAAUUUCUAAAUUCUCUUUUUCAUUAAAUUCAGACUGUUUUUUUAUGACUGUUCAAACGAGAUGUUAAUGAAGGUAAAUGGUGAAAAAGCACUAUGCUAAUGGCUACUAUGAGAGAGGAGAAUACACAGUCCUGUUAUGAAGCAAGAGAAAGAAUGAGGGUGAAGAGAGAACUGGGAGGAGAGAGAGAGAUACUCCUGACUGCAUGAGCUAUAUUUACUUCACAGACUUAUG